CCGUGUCAAGCUACGACACGAGCUAAGAUCAACAAAAGAUAAGAAAACCGCAUUCGAAAUGUAGUCAAAAGGCAUGGAAACGAUGCUAUAUGCAUCCCUCAUCUGUCCAUGGGCGAAAAAGGGCAGGAAUUUGGCCGAAACGGCAUGCAACUUGCUAAGCCUUCGUGGCUACGUCAGACAAUGGCUUUCUCUCCAGGCUCCGUCGAAGGAUCCUGCUGAAAAUGCGUCGACUGGGAUUUUUAACGACAUUGACUCCAGAACUGAAACACCCUUCACUGACAGCUACAACUUCUUCUGUGGGACCAUCGUCCAUUAAAAGAUUAGAGUUGACCAGGAUCUGCUGCGAAUGGACAAGCUUGUGGAAAUAUGGCUUUAUUGGGACCAUGGAAAAAGUGCUUAGAAAAUGGAUUUCAUUCCACUACGCUGGAUCUAUGCGUUCAAUGCAUUUUUUCUAAGCCAGUACCCUUCUAACUUAGUCACCAGCCAGAAAUGUAUCUUGAUGUGAAUACACAAAAAUACAGAUCUAGUGUUGCUGUUUUUGCUUGUUUUAAGUGUUAUAUUAAUUCUGGCAACACAAAAUCUUUAUCAAAUGUCAUAAACACAUCUACCAAACAUUUGAAACAAGUAUUGGUGCCUUAGUAUACACAUAGGUGAAUUCAGAAUGAGAAAUGUAGCUAAUUUCUUGAAGGAAACACUUCAACAUUAAUGAUUUGCACCCAGCACAAUGAAAUAUAUAUUGAAUUAAGCUAAAGGCUUAUGUAUCAUAUAUUAAAAAUAUCACAACCUACUAUGCAAUGAAAUAUAUAAAAUAAAAAAUGCACACCAUGAU